rnacentral:rRNA from 1 species
UACGGAGGAUGCGAGCGUUAUCCGGAUUUAUUGGGUUUAAAGGGUGCGUAGGCGGGCUUUUAAGUCAGCGGUAAAAAUUCAGGGCUCAACCCCGUCCGGCCGUUGAAACUGGGGGUCUUGAGUGGGCGAGAAGAAGGCGGAAUGCGUGGUGUAGCGGUGAAAUGCAUAGAUAUCACGCAGAACCCCGAUUGCGAAGGCAGCCCUCCGGCGCCCUACUGACGCUGAGGCACGAAAGUGCGGGGAUCGAACAGG